UCGAGUUGGAGGUUCUGGUUGGAACCGGUUCCCGCCUUGUGGCCAGUCGGUGAGAGCGAGCGCUGUUUGGCAGACGGACGUCCAUUUGCCCCGCCGAGCCUUCGACCAGCAGCCAAGAUGCCCCGCAAGUCGAAUGACACUCAAGGGCCUGAAGAACCGAGGAGAUCAUUGCGAAAACGGUCAAUUGUCGUGACAGCUCCUCCGACCAAGAAGGCACCAGCGAAGAAAUCUGCUGGGAAAGCUAAGAAACCAAAGGUUGUCAAAGGCAAAGCAAGUGACUCGAACCAGGAACCCAGCACUGCUCCUGCCCAAAAUGGAGAAAACAAAGAGGCUUGAGAAGCAAAGUUGACGGUAUCAACAGCGUCUGGAAGGCUUAUCAAUUUCCUGCAACGUGUGCAGUUGAAAGGAAUAUUUUUAUCAGUUUUUAUAAAGGCAACUUUUUUUUUACUUUUGAGUGAGCAAAUGUGGGUGCUUGCAUUGUUUUAUUUUGGAGAUUUUGUAUACAAAUUGCAUGUUGAAUGGCUUGAUAUUAAACUCCUUUUUGCUCCCACACAAACCCCUCAAUUUUGACCAUUUUCUAUCUCUUCCAUCAGAUGAAGUUACGUUUGCAAUGUCUAUUCAUGUUAUUGGCAGUUCCUGACCCGUGUGAAAUCAUUAUUUUCAGAUUUGGCCAUUUAAAAUUUAAAAACAUUUUUUUUAAUAAUUACUGUUUGAAAAUGGAAAUAGAAUCUCUUUUGGCUCAAAUGGAAUUUUUAAUUCCACGGAGUUUUAAAUUUGCUACUUAAAUAAAGUUGGAUAUUGUUUUGCUUGU